GGUGCCGAUAAUUAGUUAAUCCUGAACGCCCUUCAGUGCCCAAGCCAGUGGAGGUCCAGACUGCGGAGCUUUUAAAACCACAUAUGCCUGGGGCCCGAACCCCACUUGAGGGCUGACGGCGUUUUUGGGGCCGAGCUGCCGUCUUCAGUGACUCAGCAACCCACACGGUCUCAGCAAUACUGAGACCCUGUGUGGGUUGAGGUGCGCAAAAUAGCGCCCCUGUGUGCGAGAGUGGUUAGAUCAGGGCCGUGGAUUGGCUACCUUUAAGAACGCGGGGACAUUGUGCUGUGCGGUGAGGUUUGCGCAAACCCGGUCGAUUUCUGCCUUGGACGGUUCUCCUUUAAUGAAGUUGACUUUGGCUGUCAUAUCAUUGGGCUUGGGAGGAAAAGGUUCAGAAGCUAUUCGGUUCUUUUCUUGCAUUACAGGGGGGUAGGGGAGCACAAGACAGUCCGGGCCUGGAAAACAAGGUCACGUUCUCUGCGCAACAGCCCUCUUGCCUCAUCGUUCUAGGCUCCGGGAAAUGUGUGGGGACAGCCAGCCUCCCCCGGUAUUGAUUUCUGAUCACCUGGUACCUGCACGCGAUAAGGCAGGACUGAGACGUUUUUUCUGUGUUUUGGACACCGGCUUAAGUAGUUAAAACUAGCGCAGGUAGUGAGUAGGAACAGAGAAGAAAUAUUAGGUAUCUUUCAGCAUCCGGGCGUUUUCCCCAUUACCCCCUCCCCCGCCCCUUGCCUGGUGUUUCUCUAAUGUGGCCUGCGCAGCCGAAUUGGAGGGCAGAGUAUGACUUUUAAGUGGUAAAGGGACCAGCAGCUGUUGGAUUUUGGAAAUGGAGGAGCGGAGAUUUUUUAAAUUGUGCUCUUUAUCUUCAGGUGAUUGUAGAGAAGGCUCCAAAAGCCAGGGUGCCUGAUCUGGACAAGAGGAAGUACCUAGUGCCCUCUGACCUUACCGUUGGCCAGUUCUACUUCUUAAUCCGGAAGAGAAUCCACCUGAGACCUGAGGACGCCUUAUUCUUCUUUGUCAACAACACUAUCCCUCCCACCAGUGCUACCAUGGGCCAACUGUAUGAGGACAAUCAUGAGGAAGACUAUUUUCUGUAUGUGGCCUACAGUGAUGAGAGUGUCUAUGGGAAAUGAGUGGUUGGAAGCCCAGCAGAUGGGAGCACCUGGACUUGGGGGUAGGGGAGGGGUGUGCGUGCGACUUGGGGAAAGAGGGUGACUCCCACCGCGAGGAGACGGAAGGUGAAGACAUCUAGAAACAUUACACCGCACACACCGUCAUCAUAUUUUCACAUGCUCAAUUGAUAUUUUUUGCUGCUUCCUCGGCCCAGGGAGAAAGCAUGUCAGGACAGAGCUGUUGGAUUGGCUUUGGUAGAGGAAUACGGAUGAUGUAAUUUCACAGCAUUCCUGAGAUUUAAUUUUUGUGCAGUUUCAUAGAAGGGUCAGGAGGUGGACAAGUUGGGGCCAGAGAUGAUGGUAGUCCAGCAGCAACUCCCUGUGCUCCCUUCUCUUUGGGCAGCGAUUCUAUUUUUGACAUUUGCACAGGACAGGUAGGGAAAGGGGACUUGUGGUAGUGGACCAUACCUGGGGACCAAAAGAGACCCACUGUAAUUGAUGCAUUGUGGCCCCUGUUCUUUCCUGUCUCACGCUUCUUUUCUCCCAUCCCAGUUGCAGUCUCACUCAGACAUCGCAGUACCGCCCCAGGGGUGGCAGUAGACCACAACCCGGAAAUUUAGACAGCGAUCUCUUACCUUUGGAAAAUAGGGGUUAGACAUAAAGGUGGUUAUGAUUAAGAAGAUCAUUUUGUUAUUAAAUAGCAUUAAACUGGAAUUGACAAGACUAUUGAGCAUCUCUGUCUAACCUGUUCUUUCUCUCUGGUGCCCCUUAUCUCACCCCUACCUUGGAAUUUAAGUCUCAGGCAUUUCCAGUUGUAGACUAAAACCACUCUUAGCAUCUCCUCUAGUAUUUUCCAUGUAUCAGGACAGAGAUAUGUAGGGAGGGAGCAAGUGUGAAGUAAGGUAAUUAUUAUACACCUCUCAUUCAGGAUUGUUGCUCCCAUGCUGCUGUCCCUUCAGGCUCACACGCACAGGAAUGCUAUGUGAUGGCCAGCUGCCUCCCUCCUUGGUUAUCAUCCACUGCAGCUGCUAGUUAGAAAGGUUUGGAGGGAUGACUUUAGUAAAACAUGGGGAUUUUAUUGAUUUAUUUUCACUUUUGGGAUUUUGUGGGGUGGGAGUGGGGAGCAGGAAUUGCACUCAGACAUGACAUUUCAAUUCAUCUCUGCUAAUGAAAAGGGUCCUUCCUCUUGGGGGAAAUCUUUGUGUCAGUUCUGUCAGCUGCAAGUUCUUGUAUAAUGAAGUCAAUGCCAUCAGGCCAAGGAAAUAAAAUAAUUGCUUACCUUAAAAAUCCA